AACUGACAACUUGAUACUGAGCAAGGUGGGAGGCAUCCUUUUAGGAGAGUAAAGAAGUAAAUCCAAGCCUUUACACCUAUGAGCAGUAAUACAGAGCCAUGGGAUGCCAUUUCAGCAGAUGUCUUAACAUUUGAGCUGAAGUUCAAAAUAGUUUUGAACCAGGGAUUUUUGGCAGUUAUACAAAUGGCCAAUCUGAAGAAGAUGUAAGCAGAGGUUUGGCUGCUCCACCGAGACAAGCAGGACAUGAGAAAGAAUGCUAGGAAAAGACAGCAGCAAACUAAAGUCAGACAAGCAGGAGAAGAAGGAACUUCAACUUGAUACAUUUAAACUAUUCAAGGUGUCCAGAAAACCUUGCAGAUGGAGAACCCUGAACCUGAAGGGUAUUUAUUUACUACCAGGUGACAGUCCUGCAGGCAAUAGGCAACAAUCAAAUAACACCAACAGCUGGGACUAGCGGGCAGAGCCUUUGUUCAGACGAUUCACCCACUCAGGUAAAGCUCAUCCCAAGACCUGACUACAGAAAACAAGAUUAGCCACAGGGGCAGAACUGAAUCAAGACUGAAUCCUUGGGUUCUGCUACAAAGCAUCUAAUAGUUUCACCAUCCAGUGAGAUUUUUCUCCUUAAUCAAGGGUAGGGACAGCAAAUAACAAGACAGGAAAAGAUUGUAACCUGCUGUCAGUGAUGAAAAAUAAGAAGGCAAUUUGUUUGAGAAGACAACAACUUGAGCCCCUUGUUUUUCUUUGCAAAAUGUCAUCAAACUAAAAUACAGUAUCAACAAACAUUAUUUGGU
rnacentral:lncRNA from 1 species